UGAGCAACCUACCUUAGUUACUGGGAUAGCCCGAGGAAACUCGGAUUAAUACCGGAUACUCUUAUUUAAUCACAUGAUUUUUUAAGGAAAGGUCAGCCGAACUAAGAUGGGCUCGCGUUCUAUCAGCUAGUUGGUAGGGUAAUGGCCUACCAAGGCUACGACGGAUAGCUGGUCUGAGAGGACGAUCAGCCACACUGGGACUGAGUCACGGCCCAGACUCCUACGGGAGGCUGCAGCAGGGAAUAUUGCGCAAUGAGCGAAAGCUUGACGCAGCGACACCGCGUGUGGGAUGACGGAUCUAGGUUUGUAAACCACUUUCAGGAGGGAAGAAAAUGACGGUACCUCCACAAGAAGCCCCGGCCAACUACGUGCCAGCAGCCGCGGUAAUACGUAGGGGGCGAGCGUUGUCCGGAUUUAUUGGGCGUAAAGAGCUCGUAGGCGGUUCAACAAGUCGGUCGUGAAAGUUCAGGGCUCAACCCUGAAAUGUCGAUCGAUACUGUUGUGACUAGGAUACGGUAGAGGUGAGUGGAAUUCCGAGUGUAGCGGUGAAAUGCGUAGAUAUUCGGAGGAACACCAAUUGCGAAGGCAGCUCACUGGGCCGCUAUCGACGCUGAGGAGCGAAAGCUAGGGGAGCAAACAGGAUUAGAUACCCUGGUAGUCCUAGCUGUAAACGAUGGAUACUAGACGUAGGA
rnacentral:rRNA from 1 species